rnacentral:piRNA from 1 species
GACAGCUGAGACAACAAGGACCACGGG